rfam:Aedes albopictus isolate Foshan contig160006, whole genome shotgun sequence.
UGCCCAGCACCUCCUAUCCCUGCCUCCACGCGGUAGGGAAGAUCGGGUAACCAACCCCGGUGAGAAGUUUGGUCGUAGGCUGACAGGGAAGG